GCAAGUCGAGCGGAUGAAGGUAGCUUGCUACCUGAUUCAGCGGCGGACGGGUGAGUAAUGCCUAGGAAUCUGCCUGGUAGUGGGGGACAACGUUUCGAAAGGAACGCUAAUACCGCAUACGUCCUACGGGAGAAAGUGGGGGAUCUUCGGACCUCACGCUAUCAGAUGAGCCUAGGUCGGAUUAGCUAGUUGGUGAGGUAAUGGCUCACCAAGGCGACGAUCCGUAACUGGUCUGAGAGGAUGAUCAGUCACACUGGAACUGAGACACGGUCCAGACUCCUACGGGAGGCAGCAGUGGGGAAUAUUGGACAAUGGGCGAAAGCCUGAUCCAGCCAUGCCGCGUGCGUGAAGAAGGUCUUCGGAUUGUAAAGCACUUUAAGUUGGGAGGAAGGGUUGUAACCUAAUACGUUGCAAUUUUGACGUUACCGACAGAAUAAGCACCGGCUAACUCUGUGCCAGCAGCCGCGGUAAUACAGAGGGUGCAAGCGUUAAUCGGAAUUACUGGGCGUAAAGCGCGCGUAGGUGGUUUGUUAAGUUGGAUGUGAAAGCCCCGGGCUCAACCUGGGAACUGCAUCCAAAACUGGCAAGCUAGAGUACGGUAGAGGGUGGUGGAAUUUCCUGUGUAGCGGUGAAAUGCGUAGAUAUAGGAAGGAACACCGGUGGCGAAGGCGACCACCUGGACUGAUACUGACACUGAGGUGCGAAAGCGUGGGGAGCAAACAGGAUUAGAUACCCUGGUAGUCCACGCCGU
rnacentral:rRNA from 1 species